rnacentral:rRNA from 1 species
UGAGCAAUCUGCCCUUCUCUUCGGAAUAAGCGUGGGAAACCGCGUCUAAUGCCGAAUACGACCUCCUUUCGCAUGAUCGGAGGUGGAAAGCUCCGGCGGAGAAGGAUGAGCUCGCGGCCUAUCAGCUAGUUGGUGUGGGUAAUGGCCCACCAAGGCGACGACGGGUAGCCGGCCUGAGAGGGUGACCCGGCCACACGUGGGACUGAGACACCGGCCCAGACCUCCGUACGGGA